GACGAACGCUGGCGGCGUGCUUAACACAUGCAAGUCGAACGGAAAGGCCUCUUUCGGGGGGUACUCGAGUGGCGAACGGGUGAGUAACACGUGAGUAACCUGCCCUUGACUUUGGGAUAACUUCAGGAAACUGGGGCUAAUACCGGAUAGGAGCUCCUGCUGCAUGGCGGGGGUUGGAAAGUUUCGGCGGUUGGGGAUGGACUCGCGGCUUAUCAGCUUGUUGGUGGGGUAGUGGCUUACCAAGGCUUUGACGGGUAGCCGGCCUGAGAGGGUGACCGGCCACAUUGGGACUGAGAUACGGCCCAGACUCCUACGGGAGGCAGCAGUGGGGAAUAUUGCACAAGGGGUGGAAGCCUGAUGCAGCAACGCCGUGUGCGGGAUGACGGCCUUCGGGUUGUAAACCGCUUUCGCUCAUGACGAAGCUUUGUGUGACGGUAGUGGGUAAAGAAGCACCGGCUAACUACGUG
rnacentral:rRNA from 1 species